CCUACGGGUGGCAGCAGUGAGGAAUAUUGGUCAAUGGGCGGAAGCCUGAACCAGCCAAGUAGCGUGCGGGAUGAAGGCCCUACGGGUCGUAAACCGCUUUUGCACGGGGAUAACACCCUCCACUUGUGGAGGUCUGCAGGUACCGUGCGAAUAAGGGCCGGCUAAUUCCGUUCCAGAAGCCGCGGUAGUACGGAAGGCCCGAGAGUUAUCCGGAUUCAGUGGGCGUAAAGGGAGCGUAGGCGGGCGUUCAAGUCAGUGGUAAAACCGGGCGGCUCAACCGCGCCCCGCAGUUGAAACUGGACGCCUUGAGUGCACAACAGGCAGGCGGAAUUCGUGGUGUAGCGGUGAAAUGCAUAGAUAUCACGAGGAACCCCGAUUGCGAAGGCAGCCUGCCGGGGUGCGACUGACGCUGAGGCUCGAAGGUGCGGGUAUCAAACAGGAUUAGAUACCCAGGUAGUC
rnacentral:rRNA from 1 species